GAUGAAGAACGCAGCAAAAUGCGAUAAGUAAUGUGAAUUGCAGAAUUCAGUGAAUCAUCGAAUCUUUGAACGCACAUUGCGCCCGCUGGUAUUCCGGCGGGCAUGCCUGUUCGAGCGUCAUUUCAACCCUCAAGCCCCCGGGUUUGGUGUUGGGGAUCGGCUCAGCCCUUCUGGGCGGUGCCGCCCCCGAAAUACAUUGGCGGUCUCGCUGCAGCCUCCAUUGCGUAGUAGCUAACACCUCGCAACUGGAACGCGGCGCGGCCAUGCCGUAAAACCCCAACUUCUGAAUGUUGACCUCGGAUCAGGUAGGAAUACCCGCUGAACUUAAGCAUAUCAAUAAGCGGAGGA
rnacentral:misc_RNA from 1 species